rnacentral:rRNA from 1 species
UUUAACGGCCGCGGUAUCUUAACCGUGCGAAGGUAGCGCAAUCACUUGUUUCUUAAAUGGAGACCUGUAUGAAUGGCAUUACGAGGGCCAAACUGUCUCCUUCCCCUAGUCAAUGAAAUUGAUCUCCCCGUGCAGAAGCGGGGAUAAAAACAUAAGACGAGAAGACCCUUUGGAGCUUAAGACUACAGACAGACCAUGCCAAUAAGACCAAAUAAACGGUUAUAAGCCAAUUGGACUAACACUGCUCUAAUGUCUUUGGUUGGGGCGACCGAGGGGAAACAAAAAACCCCCAUGUGGAGCAGGAGAACUUUUCUCCCACAACCCAGAUCAACAGAUCUAAGUACCAGAAAUUCUGACCAAAAAGAUCCGGCAAAGCCGAUCAACGGACCGAGUUACCCUAGGGAUAACAGCGCAAUCCCCUUUUAGAGCCCAUAUCGACAAGGGGGUUUACGACCUCGAUGUUGGAUCAGGACAUCCUAAUGGUGCAGCCGCUAUUAAGGGUUCGUUUGUUCAACGAUUAAAGUCCU